rnacentral:rRNA from 1 species
AGGAUUAACGCUGGCGGCGUGCCUAACACAUGCAAGUCGAACGAGGUAGCAAUACCUAGUGGCAGACGGGUGAGUAACGCGUGGUCAACCUACCGUUGAGUGGGGGAUAACUAGCCGAAAGGUUAGCUAAUACCGCAUACGAGUCUUGGGGGCAUCCCUGGGACUUAAAAGGAGCAAUCCGCUCGAUGACGGGACCGCGUCCCAUUAGCUAGAUGGUGGGGUAACGGCCUACCAUGGCACCGAUGGGUAGCUGGUUUGAGAGAGCGACCAGCCACACUGGGACUGAGAAACGGCCCAGACUCCUACGGGAGGCAGCAGUGAGGAAUUUUCCGCAAUGGGCGAAAGCCUGACGGAGCGACGCCGCGUGUGGGAAGAAGGCCUUCGGGUCGUAAACCACUGUCGAAGGGGACGAUAAUGACGGUACCCUUGGAGGAAGCCCCGGCUAACUACGCGCCAGCAGCCGC